AACGAACGCUGGCGGCAGGCUUAACACAUGCAAGUCGAACGCCCCGCAAGGGGAGUGGCAGACGGGUGAGUAACGCGUGGGAACAUACCCUUUCCUGCGGAAUAGCUCUGGGAAACUGGAAUUAAUACCGCAUACGCCCUACGGGGGAAAGAUUUAUCGGGGAAGGAUUGGCCCGCGUUGGAUUAGCUAGUUGGUGGGGUAAAGGCCUACCAAGGCGACGAUCCAUAGCUGGUCUGAGAGGAUGAUCAGCCACAUUAGGACUGAGACACGGCCCAAACUCCUACGGGAGGCAGCAGUGGGGAAUAUUGGACAAUGGGCGCAAGCCUGAUCCAGCCAUGGCGCGUGAGUGAUGAAGGCCUUAGGGUUGUAAAGCUCUUUCACCGAUGAAGAUAAUGACGGUAGUCGGAGAAGAAGCCCCGGCUAACUUCGUGCCAGCCGCCGCGGUAAGAC
rnacentral:rRNA from 1 species